rnacentral:rRNA from 1 species
CCUACGGGAGGCAGCAGUGAGGAAUAUUGGUCAAUGGACGAGAGUCUGAACCAGCCAAGUAGCGUGAAGGAUGACUGCCCUAUGGGUUGUAAACUUCUUUUAUAAAGGAAUAAAACGAGCCACGCGUGCCUUUUGCAUGUACUUUAUGAAUAAGGAUCGGCUAACUCCGUGCCAGCAGCCCCGGUAAUACGGAGGAACCGAGAGUUAUCCGGGGUUAUUGGGGUUAAAGGGGUCGUAGAUGGGUUGUUAAGUCAGUUGUGAAAGUUUGGGGCUCAACCGUGAAAUUGCACUUGAUAAUGGCAGUCUAGAGUACAGUUGAGGUAGGCGGAAUGCGUGGUGUAGCGGUGAAAUGCUUAGAGAUCACGAAGAACCCCGAUUGCGAAGGCAGCUUACUAAACUGUGACUGACAUUGAUGCUCGAAAGUGUGGGUAUCAAACAGGAUUAGAUACCCUUGUAGUC